GGGCCGAUUGGACCAAUUGGAGUUUGGAGCGUGGGAUUUCCGACUUAAAAGAAAUUAUUGCAACCUUGAUCUCGGGACUUGCGACUUGAGAAGCGGGUGACCUUACUGUUAGAAUUCGAUUGAGUAAAUCUCUAGGUAGAGGCAGAGGUAAGGGUAAGGGCAAGCUUGCGAGUGACCAGAAGUGACCGUGGCGAGCCAUAGGGAUUUAUGCUUCCGCUUUACACCCCGUUUAAACAUUUAGUACUUGAGUUUUCAUUUUUCUUUAUUUACUAUUUCGUUUCUUUAAAAGUAGAUAGGGCCCGGUAGGAUUUUAAUAUUUGUUUACAUUUCGCAC